rnacentral:rRNA from 1 species
AACGGCCAUACCAUGCUGAAUAUACCGGUUCUCGUUAGAUCACCGAAGUUAAGCAUCAUUGGGCGCGGUCAGUACUUGGACGGGUGACCACCUGGGAACACCGCGUGCCGUU